rnacentral:rRNA from 1 species
UACAGAGGGGGCAAGCGUUAUUCGGAAUUAUUGGGCGUAAAGGGCGCGUAGGCGGCUUUGCAAGUGACGGGUGAAAUCCCUCGGCUUAACCGAGGAACUGCCUGUCAGACUGCAUGGCUUGAGACCGGGAGAGGUGAGUGGAAUUCCCAGUGUAGUGGUGAAAUACGUAGAGAUUGGGAAGAACACCAGUGGCGAAGGCGGCUAUCUGGACGGUUUCUGACGCUAAGACGCGAAAGCGUGGGGAGCAAACAGG